UUUAAUCUUUAUCUGCAAUAUAUAAUCAAAUGCCCAAUCUCUGUCACUGCAGUCCCUCAGGCUCGAAAAGCAUCCCUGGCUCGGUUUUUAGAGAAACGCAAGGAAAGAGCGACGAAUGCAGAGCCGUACACUCUCAGCAAGAAAUCUCCAGAUUUUGCCACCCCGAACCCUGCUAAUUAAUUCCUUCGCAACCUCUGCGGCUGGAACUAGUUCUCUCUUGGCAAGAAGGAGAGUAACAACAUACAAUGAAGCCAAAAGCAGACGGGAAUUGUUGAGAUUUUGUGCAGCAAGUUAAAAAUGUCAGUCCGUGUUUUGUUUCAUAGAAUAACUGUAAUCAUGACCCUGUUUGAUUGCCAAACUUAACUCUCUCUCGUAUAUAGUAAGUGUAGGGUUUUCCGCCCAUUUCUUUUGUCAUUUCGCUUUCUUUUAAUGCUCUCGGAUUCUUUGCUUCUAGAUUAGGUGAUAUUAAGCACAUUUAGAGCAUAAUUAAAAAUCUAUUAGCAUAAUUUUUAUACAACUUUCCGGUUUGUAAUAA